UCCUGUUUAAAAGUAGAUUUUGUAGUGCACCCACAAACAAAGAACAAGCCAGGGAAAUAGCUAGGAAACUUCUACACCUGGUGAUAUGUUUAGUAGCUCUGCAGAAUACUGAAGCUGACAUCUAUUACUAAGCAAAGGACCAAGCUGUGCCUGCAUCACAAUCAGACCUGAAUAUUGUAACCUGGAAUAUGAACCCUAAUGCUAUCUCCUCUUUCAGGUCACUUGUAUUUGCAUGCAGGAUGCUUUGUAGCUAGCAUUUCCUUUAACAAAUAUAUUUACAAAGAGCAGCCGUGGCACUAAGAAGAGCUCAGGCACCAAGAAAGGACUGUUCAAUUGGAAGAAAGCAUCAACUGCAGGACACAAAUGUUACUUAAUUAAAAAGCAUAGCUCAAGUUGAAGACACUUUAUAUUUAGCAAGGUAAAACUGGAAAAUUUGCCAGUUCAUAUAAUCCAUUACUGAUAGACAAUGUCAGCAGGAUGAAAUACCAACUCUAAGAAAGGUACUUUUAAAAAGUGAAAAAUUAUGCCUGGUCAUGUAAUUCACAGCACUGUCAGCAAUUAGUAUUAUUGUUUUAAGCUCUAACAUAUACAUGUAACAUCUGUGAGUGAAUAAGCUUUCUGCUCAUCGUGCCCUUUUACAAAAACAGAAGUAUUGCUGACAGCAGUGAGAACAUCAUUUCACACGUUGACUUGUCUUGGUAAGCGCCCUUACUCUUGUAUUUGUCUGGCUUUUUCCAGCAACAAGGAAUGGCUUUCUGAUGCCUGAUCUCUCUUCACACCCAGAGCAAAAUCAGAGCCAACUGCUGCAAUAAUCUGAAGGAGACAUCUCCAUGCUACCUGUAACUAAGUGAAAAAUAUCAAUUUGCUUAUGAAUUCAGACUGAACCUCUUGGAUCUGGUAUGUAUGCUAAGAAUGUCGAGAACAUCUGAACCAAUCACCAAUGACUUUGCCAGGAUAAAACUCCACCAAAAUUAGUAUCACAUUGUCUCGCUCUUCUAUGAAAAGCUUACUGUCAUUAGUACUUUGUCCAAAAGCCUACUGAAUGAAUGUCUGUCAUUUCUGAAUUUAUAUGUAUAUAUAUAACACAGACAUAUCCUGAAGUGUGUGAAAGCUGACAGAAGAAUAAACAUCUGGUUAGUAGUUAAUACA